CGAGAAAAAAGAAAGAAAAUCAGCCCUCGCACAACCCUGCCUCCCAAUCCCCGUCUCCACCUCCUGCCUCACGCGCCGCCGUGCGCCGCCACCGCCCACCACGCCGGCACGUUUACCCCUGCACGACCGGCUACACGCCGACGACGCUCGAGCUUGCAGGGGCUGGGGGCAGAUCCGGAGGCGAGGGUCGGAGGUGACGACGAGGAAGGCCUGAGCACGGGCGGAUCCAUGGCAUCCGCGGCUCCUAGGCACAAAGGGGACGGUGAGCCGGGGGAGAGAAGAAGGAAAAAAGGAGGGGUUGUGCGGCGACCUAGCGAGGAGCUCGCCGGAGCUGGGCGAAGGCGGACUGGCGCGGGAGACGGAGGGGUCCGGCGCGGCGGCGCGAAGUCCUUGCAGGUGGAGGCAGGCGUCGAAGCAGAGGACGAGAGGAUCCCGGGCCUAAUUCUGGCGUGCACUCAGCUUCCCCGAUCCAUCCCCUCCUACCCAUCCGGCCCUUCCUCGAUGGCCCGCAUGCGACGAACCCCUACGCGGGGUAAGAAGGGGGAUCACGCGAGGUGGAGCACUCCAGCCCCCUCCUAGCCCUACCACGCUAGCUACUGGUGUCUCAAAGAUUAAGGGCAGGUUGGUACUUAUGGUCAGGCCUGCCUCAAGUAGAGGAAGAAGAGGAGGCCUGAAAGAGAGAGGCCGCAAGGUAGAAGCCUUUUGAUUAGUAGGCAGUCCAGCAAGUUGGACGAACUGCUGAUAAAGAGAUAAUUCUAUUCUGAAUUUUUGUCUGAUAAGCAGGAUUGGAUCACGGAUGUAUGUUGGCUAUGUCUCUCACGGUGUGUGGAACCAGUUAUUGGUUAGUUUCAUCUUGUUUGUUGACAUUGAUGGUGUUGUCCAUUGGUUUAACAGAAAUGUUUUGAAGCUAAAGAUGAAGAGGAACUCGUGGAAGAGGAAAAGAAAUGACAUGGUAGAAAUUCAUUCACACAUAUCAGGGUCAUAGUGAGAGGAUUGAUCUGCUUGAUUCGCUCCUGAUGGUCGGUGGAUUGUUUCUGGUAGGGCUAAGAGUUCUGUGAAGGUAAGAUUUUGAUCCAACCUAUUAAGUAGUACCACACAAAUUAUAGGAGAAUUUGUUGUUUGGUCCAACCUAUAAAGGUGCCAUAUAUGCUCAGUUGCUCACAACAAUGCUAAUAUUAACAAGGUGAAUAAACUCAUGCUCUAGCGGAAGAUAUCCUUUAUAUUUUUGGGUUCACUGAUUGUUGAUUUGACAGGUGGAAAGCUCUUGCAUGACUUCAGCUUCCUGAAGGUCCGCCUAAACUGUUCAGGUUUUCUUCCCCAUGAGUUUUUACUAGCCACAUAUCAGAUGGUGAUAGUAUGUUAUACAACCUGUACAAAAACAUAAGAUGUGUUCCCAGAUAACAUCUUUCCUCCAAAAUAAUCUAUAUAUCAUCUAGACUUGGUUAGUUGUAACUUUUGCUUUCUGUUCUUUCCACAAGCGUCUGUAGGUUCAAAUGAUAAUUGUUAAAUUUGGUACCUUAAGACUUUUUUUAGGGUGACCUUAAGACUUUUUAGUUGAUUGCAUCCUCUAGACCGGGAGGUAUAAUAGCAUCUCCUAAUUGUCUAAUUGAUGAUUCAGAAAGCUCUGGCUCUACUCAUGUAUAUCAAUUUAUAUUCAGAUUGUGAAGUACUCCUUCUAUAAAGAAAUAUAAGAGCGUUUAGUUCUAUAAAACAUAUUUAUAUGCAGUUAUCCAACAAAUUUAUGUCCUAAAAUCUUACAACUUCUCUUAAGCUGUAUUUGAUCAUAACCUUGGCUUAAAUGCAAUUUAAUUUCAACCUCAAAUUUGGUGAUCUUUUGAAUGGGCACAACUGUGUCGGUAGAGGUUGACAGUUAUGAAUUUUGUGAUAAUCUUCGGUUAUGCUGUUAUAUAUAGCACUUUCCUGGUUAUAUGGUUCACAUUCUCUGAGCCAAUUCACAAUGACCAUUCCAGAUUUGGGCCUUGCGUUUUAAAAUUAUUUUGUAACAUUUUGGUUGAUCUUUGAUGCUGCUCCUUAAUUUUUUUACAUUGACUGGUGUAGAACUAAAUGAGUGUUGCCAUUCAAGGGAAGCCCCAAGCUUUAAAACCGUAUAUGAAUGUUGUUAGCUUGGUCCUUCACAAAUAAGUCCCUUGUUGUGUGUCAUCUGUCAUUGCGUAUAUCAUCUGGUCUUUCUAUUUUUCAUUGAUUUUUCUUCUCCUGGUGCACUGAAUCUGCAAGGGCGUGUAGACGGCAGGAUGAGCAGCAGCAUACCGGUGGUAAGACAGGGCGUGUUGGCGUACGCGAAGCAGCCAUGCAUGAAUCUUGGCGGCGGAUGUUUGCUGGCCGUAGUGGCAGCAUCAAUUCAAGCUGGAAGGCGGGAAGCUGGGGUAGCAGGAACAACUGGUCGUCCAUUAGGCAUCAACCCAACUCCAUUGUACUCCCUUUUCUUUCCAUAACCAAUUCCUUGGAGCAGACAUGUGGGUACAGUUACGUAGCCUGAAGAUUGUUUGCUUUUUUUUGGUUAGUUCAGAUUUAGAUUUCUUAGUUUUUGACUAUUUGAUCAAUCGAUCCAUGUAGAUCACAUUGACAUGGUUUGUCGAAUGUACCUUUCAGCAUUUACCCUGAUUAGUUAAAUGCCUAGCUGGUGAUAAGAGGAAGAGGAUGAUCAGGAAAGCAUGGCGUUGAGCGAAUCAGUACAGGAAGAAAGCCCCUCCAGAAAAAAAUAGUAGAGGAAGAAAGAGAGGAGCAGCAGUCAAGGUUGGGCUUGGUGGCCUCAACGCCUAUGACCUCCUCUAUGCCAAGCCUCGCAUCACCUGGUUAUUAUGUUAUCUGCUUCCAUGGAUUUACUGGCGUAUAGAAAUAUGAUUAUCUGAUGUAUGACUUAGGUGAGUUCCCUCUUUAUGUAACAAGGCUCUCUUUUAAAGUUGUUCGCUGUCCUCA